UAUCCAGACUUCCUCCCUUUGGCUCACAUUGUAUUAUUUGGUCAGCUUGUAGGAGAGAAGGAGCUGCUGGAACUGAGAUGCACUUGCUUGCAAAAUGAUAACCAAAUUUAUCAAGAUCGUAUCAAGGCCAUUUUAAAACAGCUGGAAGAGGUGGCUGCUGAAAGAGACCAGGCUCUCCUGACCCAGGAGGGGUACCAGAAGCAAUAUUCCCAAAGCCUGAGGGAUAAGGACAGCUACCGGAAGCAGAUCCGGGACCUCGGGGAGCGUUGUGACGAACUGCAGCUUCAGCUCUUCCAGAAGGAGGGACAGCUGCUGAGUGCCGAAGCGAAGCUGAAAAGGCUGUGCGUCGAUCCUUCCGCCCUGACUUCCGAUCUUGAGGAAAACUCAUCCCGGAGCUCUCAAGAGCUGGCUCCCCAUGGAAACCCAGAUGAAGACGGGAAAGGUGCCAAAGCAAAAGAACGCUGCGGCGUUCAGGACCCCCCGUUUGGUGUUCUCGGAAACAUUCAUCUUCUUCCAUCACAAGUAACUAUGAAUUUCCCUUCCU